rfam:Hordeum vulgare subsp. vulgare, WGS project CAJW01000000 data, contig: morex_contig_43203
UAAGUACUCCUUCCGUCCUAAAAUUUUGUCUUAGGUUUGUUUAAAUAUGAAUGUAUCUAGUCAUAUUUUAAUGUUAGAUACAUUCAUAUCUAAAUAAAUUUUAGACAAGAAUUUUGGGACAGAGGUAGUAAAUA